CAUGUCAUUUUAAAACAUUCUCUCACACCGCUUCUUGAUACAAUGGAAACGUAUAUAAAAAUGAUAUCUUAUUCAUUGGAGAAGAAAUAAAAAUAUGUGGUGGUUUUCGUCCCUCUACUCACAUGCCAUAACAACCUGAAAUAUCAAACAAUAUUUUCAUCAAGUUGGUCCAGUUUGGGGAUUUUUUAAAUUUUGUUUAUGACUUGUUAUAAUGAGGUGGUAGUGGAUGAGGACAGCAAUUUUAUCCCUACGGCAAUGCGACAUUAUAAUCAGCAGAAUUGAAGGAGGCCAGCGGUGGUCAGUAAAUAAACAGAACAAAAAAAAAAUACUUAACGAGACAUCAUAGGAAGGUGGUUGUUAUACGGGAAGGAAAUGUUUAACGUUUAUGACGGAGGAAGAGAAUUGUCCCACACUGGUGAGGCUGAUGUAUUUAAUGUUUCAUUUGAAAUGCUGCUGCUUGAUGUCCCACAACUGUAUAGAGGCGAGAGAGAGAGGGGAGGCGGAGGAGGGAAGAACUAUUGAUGGAUCCCACAAUGUUUUCAUCUACCAAAUCCACUCACAAGGC
rnacentral:lncRNA from 1 species